AUUGAACGCUGGCGGCAGGCCUAACACAUGCAAGUCGGACGAGUGGCGGACGGGUGAGUAAUGUCUCGGAAACUACCGGGUAGAGGGGGAUAACUGCUGGAAAGGAUAGCUAAUACCGCAUACCAUUAGAUCUGCCCAGAUGGGAUUAGCUGGUUGGUGGGGUAAAGGCCCACCAAGGCGACGAUCAGUAGCGGGUCUGAGAGGAUGACCAGCCACAUGGGGAAUGAGACACGGUCCAGACUCCUACGGGAGGCAGCAGGGGGGAAUCUUCCGCAAUGGGCGAAAGUCUGACGCAGCAAUGCCGCGUGUAUGAAGAAGGUUGUCGGAUCGUAAAGUUCUUUUGGCGGGGAGGCGGUACCCACCGAAGAAGCCACGGCUAACUCCGUGCCAGCAGCCGCGGUAAUAC
rnacentral:rRNA from 1 species